rnacentral:rRNA from 1 species
AUGCCGCGCACUCCCCGGCCGGCGCACCCGUCGCACUCGGACGCGAACGACGCGGCCGUCUCCAGUGCGGCGACGCGGUCACCUCCUCGGCGAUCGACCCCGUGCUCCACACGCCCCCAGCUCGCGGCCUUGAUCACGCACCAACGCGAUCACCGCGGCCGAUCCAGCGUGCCCAGGAGCUCGGUCUUCUCCUCGCCGAGCCACGCCCUACACGCCCCGGCUCGCGCACACGAUCACGCACUGACGUGA